rnacentral:lncRNA from 1 species
AAAGCAAGACAGAAUGAACCACCCAUUCAACAUCAGCUGCUACUCAGCCAACUGCAGUGUGGACGCUCCAAGUCUUCCCCUAGCUGGGUAUCCAACUCCUCUCCCAGACUCAGCUUAACCCACACCAUCUCUCACUUCUCCUUCUCAGCUUCCUCAGCUCCUCUCCUUCCCCUGGAUUACUCCUGCCUCAUCAUGAAGUUCAGACAGUGUUUCCUUUGUAAAAUGUCCUCUGGCUGGGCUCAACACUGGCUGGUGUACAUUCCAGUGACCUUCAGGCCUUUAACUUCAACGGAACAGAGAGACACAACCACAUUCACAGCACAGCACAAAGCUG